rnacentral:rRNA from 1 species
AGUAACGCGUGGUCAACCUACCCGUUGAGUGGGGGAGUAACUAGCCGAAAGGUUAGCUAAUACCGCAUACGUCUCCGAGUGGCAUCACUUGGCGAUAAAAGGAGCAAUCCGCUCGAUGACGGGACCGCGUCCCAUUAGCUAGAUGGUGGGGUAACGGCCUACCAUGGCACCGAUGGGUAGCUGGUUUGAGAGAGCGACCAGCCACACUGGGACUGAGAAACGGCCCAG